rnacentral:tRNA from 1 species
GCCAGUGUGGCUCAGUGGUAGAGUGUCGCCUGUGCACCAAGGGGUCAUGGGUUCAAUUCCCAAUCAAGGGUG